AAAGCAAAUAUGAAAAUAUAUGAAAAGAAUUUUAUUUUUAUUAGCGUUAGAAAAAAAAGUUUAGGCCAACAUGAAAAAUUAAUUGCGUUAGCUACGAGAUUACAACUAACAUCACCAACAUAGAGUUAAGUGAUUAUUGCAUUGUCAUCACACGGUAUUCCUUGAUAGAAUGGUUAACUUGAGGUUAAAAGAAACUAUCUUUGAGGACAAAGUAAAAUGUUAGGAAAUUGCGUGGAAAUAGAACUUGCUUUUAAAAUCCAAAAACUAAUUAAAACUACCACAACUUAUAGUAUAAUCAUAGCUUCAAUUUAGUAAAAGUGAAGGUUGGAGCUUAAACUUGAAGUUAAUUUUGUUUGUGUCGGUACGUGUUCUAUAUAAACCACCCAUAUCUUUUCAUUUCCUCAUCGAUUUCAUUUGUGAAAUCAGAAACAUGGUGAAAUCGAAGGGUUGAAAAGAGUUCGAGAGAGACGCAAAACUACUUGUGGCUGCAGCCAAAUACAAGAGAGAAAAUAUUUAUCUCAUUGCAGAGGAAAUGAAUAUGACUAGGGGUUUGAUCGUCAAAUAUUAUGUGCCUUGGAGCAAGUAUCUCCAAGCAUUUGCCCUAAAACCGAACACCUCACAUUUACAAUCAAUAUGAAAAUAUAUGACGAGGAUUUUUUCAUAUACAAAAAUUAUUUCUUAGAAUUUAAGUUGGAAAAAAUCUCUUCUCAUUCUCUUAUAGUCAUCUUAUUAAUUCUUCACAAACAAUAUGAAAAUAUAUGAUGAGAUUUUUUUUAUGAGCGUUAGCAAAAAAAACUUUAGGCCAAUAUGAAAAAUUAAUUGCAUUAGCUACGAGAUUACAGCUAACAUCAGUAACAGAGAAGUUUGAUGUCUUCAAUUUGAGCCUAUAAUUUUUGCUAUUUUCAAUUAUAUUUUUCUCUGGUUUUACUUAUGUUUUGCUUACUAUUUGUUUAUCUUUUAAAUAUAUAA
rnacentral:sRNA from 1 species